rnacentral:rRNA from 1 species
UACGGAGGGUGCAAGCGUUAAUCGGAAUUACUGGGCGUAAAGCGCACGUAGGUGGGUCGUUAAGUCGGGGGUGAAAUCCUGGAGCUCAACUCCAGAACUGCCUUCGAUACUGGCGAUCUUGGAGUCCGGGAGAGGUGAGUGGAACUGCGAGUGUAGAGGUGAAAUUCGUAGAUAUUCGCAAGAACACCAGUGGCGAAGGCGGCUCACUGGCCCGGUACUGACGCUGAGGCACGAAAGCGUGGGGAGCAAACAGG